GAGGAAGAAGAAGAAGGCAACUGGAUGAAGAACCAAAGCCCUUGCAGCCUACUCCCUUUUCCUUGCGUUGGAAGGAGGAAGAGAAGAAGAGGGGGCCGCCAAUGGCUUUUCCUUUUCUUCCGUUGCUUGCGGCUGAACCAAGAGGAGAGGAGAGGGAGGCGUACGGCUUGAAGAGGAGAAGGACCAAGUUUGCCCUAGGUGCCGCCCACAAGCCCUUUUAAAGGCAUGAAGGGCUCCUACAA
rnacentral:lncRNA from 1 species